rnacentral:lncRNA from 10 species
UUGACAGUUUGGCUUCCCUGUUCUGGGUGGCAAAGCCUGUGGAGUACUCACCUACCUGCUGCAUGAAGGCAGCAUGGAGGGACUGUGGUGGAUUAUCUGCAAAGAUGGCCAAAAUUCUCUCAUCCCUGCAGGCACAUACAAGGUUGUUGCAUGGCAUAAGUAAAGUGACAGUUAUAGGAUACAUGCAACUUUUCAGUGACAAAGAUCUGUGCAGCAUCGACAGUACUGCCUAAUGAGGUUUCACCAUAAUGAAGUAUCACAACCAGUUUACAGACCAGAAAACUGAGACACAGGAAGGGGUGGUGACUUGAGCAAGGUGCAUCAGCUGGAAAUUGAAGUAUACAGAAUGCUUAUUUGGUCUACUCAGUAUCAUCCUAAAUGUAUGUACCAAUGCUUAGGAGUUUGCAGUUCACCCGCAAACCUCAGCGAUCCAAGCUCCCCUGGAUGACCAUCACUCACCAAGAAAAGAGCAAUAACAGGACCUGUUUUGCUAAUCCAGGACUGUUCUCCAGCACUAACUCUAAAUAAUCCCUUCUGCUAGAGUCCACUUUCUGGAACCUGUUGCCUCCGUUUUCAACGUUUCCCAAACUUGGUCCGUUGUGUGAGCUGGCUGAUAAAAGUUCCAGAGGUCACAUAGGUACAUUCACUCACUUUCAACCAAUAUUUCUUAAGACUGUGUUACGCUGUGCACAGGAGACAAGACACAGAAAUAGAUGACCC